GUGGGGAAUAUUGGGCAAUGGGGGAAACCCUGACCCAGCAACGCCGCGUGAAGGAAGAAGGUUUUCGGAUCGUAAACUUCUAUCCUUGGUGAAGAUAAUGACGGUAGCCAAGAAGGAAGCCCCGGCUAACUACGUGCCAGCAGCCGCGGUAAUACGUAGGGGGCAAGCGUUGUCCGGAAUGAUUGGGCGUAAAGGGCGCGUAGGCGGCCUGGUAAGUCUGGAGUGAAAGUCCUGCUUUUAAGGUGGGAAUUGCUUUGGAUACUGUCGGGCUUGAGUGCAGGAGAGGUAAGUGGAAUUCCCGGUGUAGCGGUGAAAUGCGUAGAGAUCGGGAGGAACACCAGUGGCGAAGGCGACUUACUGGACUGUAACUGACGCUGAGGCGCGAAAGUGUGGGGAGCAAACAGGAUUAGAAACCCUAGUAGUCC
rnacentral:rRNA from 1 species